GACGAACGCUGGCGGCGUGCUUAACACAUGCAAGUCGAACGGAAAGGCCCUGCUUUUGUGGGGUGCUCGAGUGGCGAACGGGUGAGUAACACGUGAGUAACCUGCCCUUGACUUUGGGAUAACUUCAGGAAACUGGGGCUAAUACCGGAUAGGAGCUCCUGCUGCAUGGUGGGGGUUGGAAAGUUUCGGCGGUUGGGGAUGGACUCGCGGCUUAUCAGCUUGUUGGUGGGGUAGUGGCUUACCAAGGCUUUGACGGGUAGCCGGCCUGAGAGGGUGACCGGCCACAUUAGUACUGAGAUACGGCCCAGACUCCUACGGGAGACAGCAGUGAGGAAUAUUGCACAAUGGGCGGAAGCCUAAUGCAGCAACGCCGCGUGCGGGCUGACGGCCUUCGGGUUGUAAACCGCUUUCGCCUGUAACGAAGCGUGGGUGACGGUAAUGGGUGAAGAAGCCCCGGCUAACUACGUG
rnacentral:rRNA from 1 species